AGGGUUUUACCAAAUUAGCAAUGAUUCAGCUGUUUCGUUUACCUUGAAACUGGCUGUUUUAUUUUACCAGUAUUAAAAUCAAACCUUCCAGUUCCAAAACAUAUUGAAAUGAGGACAGAAUUAGGAACAUGUAAUGUUUCCUAAAUAGUAAAGUGAGAGGUAUGGGUCUUGUCUGCAUGUGAUGUCUGAGAGGCAGUGAGAGUGCACUUUCACACAUUACAGAGGAACUGUGACUCGCUUUCUAGCUUUGCAAUGUGAAUAAGAACUCACACAUCUCCCAAUAUGGAGAAAGAAUAUUUUUGCACCUGAAGUGUAUUUUUGUAUAACUUUUACUCUGGUUUUAUGCUGUUUCAUUGGUAUGACUGAGUGCUAAAGCCACAAAUCAUGAGAGAGAGAGAGAGAGAGAGAGAGAGAGAUGGAAAAGGGAAAGAAGAAAAAUAAGGCUGAAGGCAUGGGUGGAGAUGGAAAAGCCUGUUGAUUCUGUUUCUUUACAUUUUACAGUCUUAAGUUCUUAGCAUUUCUGCAUCAGUUUGUGGGCAUUUAUAAAAGUCCUCAUGAAAACUGAUCAGCAUUUUAAGGUGCAUUUCUUUUAAUACACAUAUUUUUGCAGCAAAUUUGCUUUAUAUAUACAUUUUUGCCCUAAUAGGUUGCAUUUUGCAUGCUAUUUUCACUGGUAAAAGCAUUGCUAUGCACAAUCUCCUAAUACAUUUUUGUACACCUUUUUUUGGUUAAAUUGUAUAAUGAAAUACCAAUAAAUUUGUAUUUUGAAGAAUGGAACUGUGUUUCAGUUUGCAUAUUGUUUCUGGAAUUGCAAGUUAAGUAGGUUCACAUUAAAAUGCGAAAUGAGCCAAUUCCCCAUCCCUAGCAAGGAUGGUGUUGAAUUUGGACCCCUCUUUUCAAACAGCAUAGAAUAUUUUGGAAACUGAUUCACUUAGGACUUCUAAAUACAAUACAUUUUGGAAAUGUGCCUUUUUGAAGAAAUGAAAGUUGGUUGUAGUAAGUAGCAGGUUCAUAACCUGUUAUGAAACAAUCAUUGGAUAGUGAAUGGAAAUUUUAUAAAAUCAUAUGCAUUUCCUAACACUCAGAACACUUAACAAGACUGUAAAGAACAUACUAAAUUAUUAGACUGAAAUGCAGGAUGUAUCUGAGAGAGAGAUUUGUUACAGUUCAGUCUAUUUUACUUGUGUGGUUGAGGAUGCUUUGCAGCUUUUUUUCUCCCAUCCUGAAAUCAAUCAACACUUUUUUUUCAGAGUCCUAAAAUACACCACCACCCUUUUGGAGCCAAAGUUGAGAAAACUGAGAAUGUUCAGUUCAACCUCCUAUGUCUACCCGACUUUUCCUGAGUCUUUGUUAAACGUUUGUCAUUCCCUUUUUCCCCCAGUCGAAAACUCAUUGGCAGCCCUCAGGGCAGGACUGAAUCACUUUGACAUUCACUGCAGUGUUUAGCAUAUAACUGGCACUAACAAAGGCUUUAAGAAGUAGUUGUUCUUGAUGUAGCACCACCACAAUUGCUAUUGCAUGGCGAGGCUCCGGGCCCCGCAAUUCCCCUCAGAAAUAAACACACAGACACAAACAUGUUGGGUUAAUGGGAUAGAUUAGGCCACAACUUUAUUGGUUACAGAUGUGAGUGGUUUGGCUUAGGCAUUUGGGUGAAGCCGACAGUCCAAAGUCCAUUUUGGGUGCCUAAUCCGGCCCGCCGAUUGGUUUAAUCUGGUUUAAUCCAGUGGCAGUUUAUUUCCUGGUGUAAUAAUAACCAACUUUGGGGUAAGAUCAUAAACAAAAGCUCAACAACUUCAAUCCUAAAAAAGGUUAACAACUGUGGUCGGCCCUCAUGGCCCUUCACUUCAUCAAAUCUGGCCCUCUUUGAAAAAAGUUUGGACACCACUGCAAGGGUCAACCACCGAUAGGGGGAGCCCUAUGAUAUACAUCAAUUAAGAGCACCUCCAGGGUCAACGAUGGGGUCGUGGCAUGGCCCUAGCCCACACCCAGGCUUUGGACAGGAUCCACACCCCUGGACCCCUUUAAAGGAUACCCUUAAUGAGGAGGAGCAGGCGGAGGCAACCACAAUUGCUGCUACUAAUUUCCUGCAGGCUGCUGCACAAGCAUCUUCACCAGUCAACUCAUGGAUUUGUGCCUAUCUGUAAUGAUAGUGAAUGCAUUAUACUGCUCAUGUACAUACUAUUACCAAAUCUCUAUGGUCCUGGGAAAUAGGUUUAAAGUUAAACUUGAAUUAUUGUAGAUAGCCACAAGUCUGAAGCAAGACUUUGCAGUACCUGCUUGCCCAAGAUACGUAUGUCUGAUUUGUAUGUGACUUCCCCCAAAUUACAAGGACGUGUCAUUUUUCUGACUUUUUCCUCUCUCAGUGCAUAUUAAAACACAUGUAAGGAAACAGCAGUGGAUCAAGGGCUAGAGUCAGAAUACUGUAGUAGAUGUGAGGUUGACUGUUAAUAUGUUUAGCCUUGACAAUACUACUUGAAUUUUCAGGGCCCUGGUGUCAUUAUGCUUUGUUCUGAUGCAUGGGUAGGCAAACUAAGGCCCGGAGGCCAGAUCUGGCCCAAUCGCCUUCUAAAUCCAGCCCGCGGACGGUCUGGGAAUCAGCAUGUUUUUAUAUGAGUAGAACGUGUCCUUUUAUUUAAAAUGCAUCUCUGGGUUAUUUGUGUGGCAUAGGAAUUUGUUCUUUUUUUCUUCUCCUCCAAAAUAUAGUCCGGCCCCCCACAAGGUCUGAGGGACAGUGGACCGGCCCCCUGCUGAAAAAGUUUGCUGACCCUUGUUCUAAUGCCUGUGUACCACAACAAUUAAAACCAACUUACAGGAAUCAAAAGCAGCUUUUAGGAAGAGGACCAUGAUUUGACUAACGUUGGAGAGAGUUGAGGGGGUGGGGUUUUUAGAUUUCAUACAAGGCCUCCAUAUCUUUCCCUCUGUAAUCAAGCUGUGAUUGGACACGUCACUGCCUUUUCAUCAAGGUAGCUUUUAAAAUAAGAACUGCAGAAAGAAUUUAGAAUGUAUCAAAUCUAUGACUAUCCUUAAAUAGGAUCUUCAUAAGUGGGUUAUUAUACAUAUGGAACAGUAUAUCUUUUUCAGCUAUUUAAUUCUAAUUCUAUGUGAAGUUAUUCAAAAAAAAUGGGGGCACAAUUGGAAAGCCUGAUGUCUUUAAAAGAUGAAUCUGCUGUAGCUUUUUAUUUAUUCAUCCAUUCUGCAAAGGCAUGUGCUUCAUCACAGAGGUAACCUCUGUGGAGAUGACCACUGGGCAAAGUGACCUUGUGGAACAAAAGUGAUUGACUGUAUAAUGAAGAGAUAUAGAUGGAAGCCAAAAGGCAUCAGUUCAAUACUUGGCUGUACACUGUUUGAUGCUGCUUAUCUGUGUGGCAUAUGUAGAAGAAACAUAGAUGGUAUCAUGGAGAUCAAUAAAUUCAGAUCCAGAGCAGAAGAUGGCCAUGGUGCACUCACACGCAUACAGAGGCUGUGUAUACACUUCCACCUAGAGGUCUCCCAUUGCUGGUUUGGGAAGUGCUGUACACAUGGCAUUAGCCACAAUCCAUAUCUAUCCUGUACCUUCUCUGUAAUUUCUUGUGAAAUACUGUAUGUUGGUGCAUUUUCCUCCAAACUAGCUUCAAUAUGAAUUGAGAUAAAGAAUCACCUAGCUGUGUUUUAAGCUGGUGAUAUUUACACCCCAAAGUUUCAAUUUGAACUGGGCUUGGAAAAUAAAGCAAUUCUCUUUUUAAAAUGAAAUUAGCUAUUACUUUCUGAGCCCAGUUCAGAUCUCUAUUAAUUUCUGAUGUCAGCCUCGGAAGCAGAUUGGGUCUGCCUUUCUCUCCCCAGUAACCCUCCAUCACUCUUGCUUGGCUGCUGUGGUGGCAUCAGCGGCUCAGAAGGAGGGAGGGAGGAUUCUUUCCAUUCUGCUUCUCUCCCCCCUUCCUCUACUUCUCAUCCAUCCUCUCUCAGUUCUUCUGGGAAUGGUCCAGCUCAGAACACUGGCUCACCUUACAAGUACAAAAAAUUCAGAUUCCAAACCAGACCAUUGCUGAAUUUAGUGACAUCUAGUGUAUUUCUACUGAGUGCCCCCCCCCCAUUUUCUCUAUUGAAUUUGCAGACUGCCCUUUUUGCCUCGGUUUUCAAAUGUUUCAGUAGUUGAACAGUCUUUCAGAACAGAGUAUGUUCAAAAACCGAGGUACCACUGUACUCCUUUUCAUGAUAAUACAUUGUUUUCCCCACUAUGGAUAGCAAAGCCAGCCCUGUGGAGAGGUGUUGAUUCACACAUGACCUACUGGGGCUACUUUCUCACCAACAUAAACAUGUCAACCUGAAACAGCAUUUUAAGGGCCUAGUUAGAAUUUUACCCUUCUGGCUAGCUGCCAGGAUUUGAGGAUCCAACUGGCAAGAAGGAAAAAAUUCAGCCAGGCUUUUAAAUUUUUUAAUUUAGUGCAAAUGCAUGAGAUCUUCUAUAAUACACAAGCAUCGCACAGGAGUAUAGUGUACUCUUUCUGUACGCUAGGCAAAUGCCUGCACAUGUAUACGAGUUAAUACACCUUAAUACACCUCCAAUACACCUCUAAUGGCUUAACUGCCAUUAGAGGUGUAUUGGAAUAGCUGGCAACAUUUUGCAAGGUUCAUGAAAUAAGCUGGCAUGUGUUGGUUUAUUUCUUACAUUUAUAUCACACCUUGCCUCCCAGGAGCUCCAGGCAUAGUAAAUAGGUUCCUACCCUCCAUUUUAUCUUCACAAGAACCAUAUGAGGUAAAUAAGACAGAGAGGCAGUGACAGGCCCAAAGUGCAUAUAUUGUCCCUGGCAGCCACUACUGUAAACGUAGACUGCUCAGAGUACUGGACAGCCUAAUACUCUCACCCUCAGAGAAAUGCUUAUUUGCUCUUUUCAUCCCAGUGUACCUCUCAGUCAGCAAUAGCCAACCUAAGCAGGCUUGGAAGGCCAGAUUCCACUGCAUGUCCAGAGAGUCUCUACAGAUGAGCCAUUGUUCUCUUUGCUAAGGAAAGGUAAUCUGUGCAUAAUCAAUGGUGAUAUUUUUCCUUUGUUCCAUUUAAAGUUGGUUCUCUUUGGAAUAAAGAGGCUCUGCACAAGCUCAGCCUGAGGUGCCAGACAUUUCAAAACAAAAAUUGGUAACUUUGCACCUACUCUUAGAAUUAGCAGUCAUAUUACUCCUAUACACUACCCCCAUAAACUUAUAAAACUGAUAUGAGAUGGUGUUUGUUUAUGAGAAUGGUCACCUAGAAGACACUGUGGUUCAGAACCUCCUAAUUUUGCCUUCCUUUGCAACCUUCUUUAUGACUUGCAACUUCACAGGCACCAGGAGAUGGAAGCCCUAUCUAGAAAUGACAGCACACAAUUGGGGCUCUUUCUUCUGCUGUCACAGAUUGAAGGUUGUGAUGUAAUACAAGGGGCUAUAUCUACACUUACAGCCUUACCCAAUGUGGCCCUCCAAGCAUGACUGUCUGGCCCUUGGGUUCUUCCCCAGGCCACGCACCUGAGUCCUGCCCAACACCUCACCAACUUUCAUUCGUAGCAUCCUUGAGUGUUUUGUGCCUGGUUGGAAUGUGUACCUUGACCUUUGAUAAUGCCUUGAGAGUUUGUGCAGAAACUAGCAUACUGUGCAAAGGUAAAGAAUCACUCUCAUUGCUUAGCCCACUUUUGCCUCUUGCCCCACCCACCACUGGCAUGUGCCCUCCCCACCACAGGUUGCCCAAAACCGAAUGCACCCCUUGGGAUGAAGGAGGUCCCCCCCCCGCCCCCGAGUUAGAGGAUCUGGAAGAAUGUGGCUACUUUUUGUGAAAGCUGGCACAGAAAAGUAGAGUUUGCUUGCCAGUCACCUUUGUGUAUAGGAGCUUUUAAAAGGGGUGGGGGUAUGAUGCUCUAAUUUUCUGACAGGAGCACAGAGGCUGUUUAAUGAUGGCCAUCCUCUUUUCCAGCUCUCAGUACAAAGGAGGUGAUUGUGGCUUCACGGCCCCUGCCUUGACAUGAUUAGAAGAAUACGCAGCAGGAAAAGGGGCAACAAUGGGGAAAGAAAAGACAGUUUCUAAAAUAGUUGAACUGAAGUAGUUUCUUUGGUGGCCUGAACUUUGGAUUAGAAAGGGCACUGCUGAUGGCAGGCUUGCAGUCUUCCCUGAGAAAAUAGUGUGGGAAGAGAGCAGCUUCAGCUGAAACGAUUUAUUUUAUAUAUUUCCUCCUGCCGUUUCAGAAGGGGCUGCAUACAGCUGCUUGCUCUUGUACUUUUUAUUUUAAUGUUUUAAAAAAGCUUCCUUUGGGGAUCCACUGUUUAGAACUCCCAACUGGGCCUUUAAAACACACAAUUAAAAGGCUGAAAGCGCUGGUGAACAAGAACUACCAACUGUCCAAUGUUUAUGUAC